rnacentral:rRNA from 1 species
AUUGAACGCUGGCGGCAGGCUUAACACAUGCAAGUCGAGCGGAGUGAUGGUGCUUGCACUAUCACUUAGCGGCGGACGGGUGAGUAAUGCUUAGGAAUCUGCCUAUUAGUGGGGGACAACAUCUCGAAAGGGAUGCUAAUACCGCAUACGUCCUACGGGAGAAAGCAGGGGAUCACUUGUGACCUUGCGCUAAUAGAUGAGCCUAAGUCGGAUUAGCUAGUUGGUGGGGUAAAGGCCUACCAAGGCGACGAUCUGUAGCGGGUCUGAGAGGAUGGUCCGCCACACUGGGACUGAGACACGGCCCAGACUCCUACGGGAGGCAGCAGUGGGGAAUAUUGGGCAAUGGGGGGCGCCCUGAUCCAGCCCUGCCGCGUGUGUGAAGAAGGCCUUAUGGUUGUAAAGCACUUUAAGCGAGGAGGAGGCUCUUUUGGUUAAUACCCAAGAUGAGUGGACGUUACUCGCAGAAUAAGCACCGGCUAACUCUGUGCCAGCCGCCGCGGUAACAC